rnacentral:ncRNA from 1 species
UUUCCCUUAAGAGAGCUGGCAGUUCUUCUCAUGAUUGAUUUUGUGUGUUAAAGAGAAUGAUCAUAAGCAUUGGGUCCUAAACGACCUCUACCUAUUUUUUCAAACUUUAAAUGGGUGAGAUACCCGGCUAACCUUAAAGGAGUCGGCUGCUGUAUGUGCGAGUUUCAAGUUGGUCAUUUUUGGUAAGCAUAACUGGCUUUGUGUGGAUGAAACA